rnacentral:rRNA from 1 species
AGAGUUUGAUCAUGGCUCAGAACGAACGCUGGCGGCAGGCCUAACACAUGCAAGUCGAACGCUCGUAGCAAUACGAGAGUGGCAGACGGGUGAGUAACACGUGGGAACCUUCCCUAUGGUUCGGAAUAGCUCAGGGAAACUUGGGGUAAUACCGGAUAAGCCCUUACGGGGAAAGAUUUAUCGCCAUUGGAUGGGCCCGCGUCGGAUUAGCUAGUUGGUGGGGUAACGGCCUACCAAGGCGACGAUCCGUAGCUGGUCUGAGAGGAUGAUCAGCCACACUGGGACUGAGACACGGCCCAGACUCCUACGGGAGGCAGC